UGGGAAGCACUUCCUUCACAACUUCACUUUCAAGAUGAUGCUCAGACUCUCUGCUCUGGUGACAGUGCUCUGUCUACCCUGUUUAAAUGGUCAGGCUUUGGAGUCCAUUCCCUCCACGUCAGUGUUGAAAAAGCCUCAGGAAGCCCUCAGUCUUUCCUGUAGAGGGUCUGGUUUUGACUUUGGCCAGUAUGGAAUGCACUGGAUCAGACAACCAGCAGGAAAGACGCUAGAAUGGAUGGGAGCAAUCUGGUAUGAUGCAAGUAAAACUGUUUAUGCCAGCAGUGUGCAAGGACGUAUAGAAAUCACCAGAGACAACAGCAACAGCAUGGUGCAUCUGAGCCUUUCCAACCUCAAGCCAGAGGACUCUGCUGUCUGUUAUUGCACUGGAGAGCCAUAG